GAGGCCACUUUGUGUGGCUCCCCGGGCCUUCGAAGCGGUGGUGAUGUUUAUGCUCGGAGCCAGUGCUUCUUUAAUUCUUUAUGUUUAAUGAACAUGUCAACUUGCAAGAUAAAUCAUGAAAAUUUUGAUUUAGAAGAAACCCUUUGUCUGGAAUACAUUUGUCCCAGAUAUCUUCAUUGUCUGCUCCCUGUUAGAAUGAAGAUACCCACAUAUUUAAAAAUUUGCCACAAACAAUUUCUUAACUUUUUUAUUUGGGAUACUUUGGAUAUAAGCUAUCCGCAAGUGGAGAGAAAAGCUUAAGAAAUCUGAAAGAAGUACCCAUCACUCAGCUCACCAGGUAUACUUGAGACCAAACAACAAAGAACCUAUAAGCUGGCCUCGGAAGACACUCUGGAUCAUCUGGAAAAGAUUCCACUUCAGCAGAUUACAGCCAUCUGCUGAAGUCUUGGAGAUAGUUCCUGAAGAACUGCUAGGAGCACAAGGUAUACUGUACUCAGAGUGAGUUAGCAGGAAGUUUUCAAUUUCACUGCCAGCCCCGUUGUGAUUCAGAGAAGGACUGUGGUGGGAAGUGCCCAAACAGAACUGAAGAAGCAUUGCUGUCUCCUCUAGGGAGAGGAGCCAUCCUCCUCACCGAUGGCUGAAGGGCAAAGAACCUGAAAGAUCCCAGUGAAUUCUCAUAUUUUAAUACCUAUAAUAACAUGAUGGCCAAUAUUUACAUAAUGGUGUAAACCUUUUAUAACACUGUUGCACAUCAUACUCUUUUAGGAAUACUAUGGGUUAUGAUGAUAGAUUUGAGUUUGA